rnacentral:other from 2 species
UGUCCCCUGCGGUGCGCGUCAAGGUCAUACAUUCCUUGAACCAAUGCUAAUUGGCAUCAGGUUGUCCGCCAAAACGCCGCUGUUGUGAGCGCCCCCAGUCGGGCGCACCUGAAGUGGCUGGCAGGCAGCCGUCUUGGACCCCCGGUUCAGGAUGCCGACCUAACGGCACAGGCGGGGGCCCA